rnacentral:rRNA from 1 species
AUGGUUAAGUUAGAAAGGGCGCACGGUGAAUGCCUUGGCACUAGGAGCCGAUGAAGGACGGGACUAACA